GACGAACGCUGGCGGCGUGCCUAAUACAUGCAAGUAGAACGCAGUUGCGCACGGGUGAGUAACGCGUAGGUAACUGCCCCAUAGCGGGGGAUAACUAUUUGAAACGAUUACUUAUACCGCCUACUGUGACAUGGAUCUGCGUUGUAUUAGGUAGUUGGAGGGGUAAAGGCUCACCAAGGCGACGAUACAUAGCCGACCUGGGAGGGUGAACGGCCACACUGGGACUGAGGCACGGGCCCGACUCCUACGGGGGGGAGCAGGAGGGAAUCUUCGGCAAUGGACGGAAGGCUGGCCGAGCAACUCCGGGUGGGUGAAAAAAGUUUUCGGGGCGUAAAGCUCCUUUGUGAGGGAAGCGGUAACUAAACAGAAAGCGACGGCUAACUACGUGCCAGCAGCCGCGGUAAUAC
rnacentral:rRNA from 1 species